AUCCAGCUGACGAGUACCAAAUAGGAUAAAACACUUGUCCUGGAU
rfam:Schistosoma mattheei strain Denwood, Zambia genome assembly, scaffold: SMTD_scaffold0003283